CCUACGGGAGACAGCAGUGAGGAAUAUUGGUCAAUGGACGAGAGUCUGAACCAGCCAAGUAGCGUGAAGGAUGACUGCCCUAUGGGUUGUAAACUUCUUUUAUAUGGGAAUAAAAUGUUCCACGUGUGGGAUUUUGUAUGUACCAUAUGAAUAAGGAUCGGCUAACUCCGUGCCAGCAGCCGCGGUAAUACGGAGGAUCCGAGCGUUAUCCGGAUUUAUUGGGUUUAAAGGGAGCGUAGGUGGAUUGUUAAGUCAGUUGUGAAAGUUUGCGGCUCAACCGUAAAAUUGCAGUUGAAACUGGCAGGCUUGAGUACAGUAGAGGUGGGCGGAAUUCGUGGUGUAGCGGUGAAAUGCUUAGAUAUCACGAAGAACUCCGAUUGCGAAGGCAGCUCACUGGACUGCAACUGACACUGAGGCUCGAAAGUGUGGGUAUCAAACAGGAUUAGAUACCCCAGUAGUC
rnacentral:rRNA from 1 species